rnacentral:rRNA from 1 species
AGUGAACGCUGGCGGUAGGCCUAACACAUGCAAGUCGAACGGCAGCACAGGAGAGCUUGCUCUCUGGGUGGCGAGUGGCGGACGGGUGAGGAAUACAUCGGAAUCUACUCUGUCGUGGGGGAUAACGUAGGGAAACUUACGCUAAUACCGCAUACGACCUACGGGUGAAAGCAGGGGACCUUCGGGCUUUGCGCGAUUGAAUGAGCCGGUGUCGGAUUAGCUAGUUGGCGGGGUAAAGGCCCACCAAGGCGACGAUCCGUAACUGGUCUGAGAGGAUGAUCAGCCACACUGGAACUGAGACACGGUCCAGACUCCUACGGGAGGCAGCAGUGGGGAAUAUUGGACAAUGGGCGCAAGCCUGAUCCAGCCAUACCGCGUGGGUGAAGAAGGCCUUCGGGUUGUAAAGCCCUUUUGUUGGGAAAGAAAUCCAGCUGGCUAAUACCCGGUUGGGAUGACGGUACCCAAAGAAUAAGCACCGGCUAACUUCGUGCCAGCAGCCGCAGUAA